UUUUCUAGUAUUUGGCGGUCCCGUGUGCCUCCGAAAAUCAAAGUCUUCCUCUGGCAAACCUCCAGAGGGCGUCUCCCUGAUGCCGAUCAAAUCCGCAAGAGGAAUGGCCCAGGCUCGGAAUUUUGUGCUCUUUGUGGUGUUGUGGAAAACACGAAUCAUAUUUUCUUCCACUGUGUGCUUGCUAAGCUUGUUUGGAGCUGCGUCAGAUCCUGGCUCCAGAUCACUUGGGAUCCCUCCUCCUUUAAUGACCUGAGAGGUCUUGCCAAUUCUUUGGCUGGCGUGACAAAAAGGGUUUUCUGGGUUGGCCUGGGUGCCAUUUGUUGGUCGCUAUGGACUACUAGAAAUAAAUUUACGACCGAACAUGUUUUUCCUACUAAACCUGCUGACUGUUUAUUUAAAUCAUGUAUCUUCUUGCAGCAGAGGAGAUUAUUGACUAAGCCGGAGGACCGGGAGCUCUUGAUCUUCACAUUUCUAAAGUUCGGGCCUCGGCGUCGUCUCUCUCUGGGCAGGAUCUUGGUGUCUAGACCUACGCGUUUUGGAGUUUCUUCGCUGGCUUCAUCUUUCGUACUUUCUCCGGCCUGCGUGCCGUGUUUGGCAGGGUGCCAUGUAUCCGUCGUACUUUUCCAGAUCGUCUAUGCGUGCCCGCGUUUGGGUGAACUUGUUGUUUCGUCCUCGUUGAUGUUGUUGUUGCUCUCUGACUCUGCCUUGUGGCCUUUUCUCUAA
rnacentral:rRNA from 1 species